rnacentral:rRNA from 1 species
AGUGAACGCUGGCGGUAGGCCUAGCACAUGCAAGUCGAACGGCAGCACAGUAAGAACUUGCUCUUACGGGUGGCGAGUGGCGGACGGGUGAGGAAUACAUCGGAAUCUACUUUUUCGUGGGGGAUAACGUAGGGAAACUUACGCUAAUACCGCAUACGACCUACGGGUGAAAGCAGGGGAUCUUCGGACCUUGCGCGAUUGAAUGAGCCGAUGUCGGAUUAGCUAGUUGGCGGGGUAAAGGCCCACCAAGGCGACGAUCCGUAGCUGGUCUGAGAGGAUGAUCAGCCACACUGGAACUGAGACACGGUCCAGACUCCUACGUGAGGCAGCAGUGGGGAAUAUUGGACAAUGGGCGCAAGCCUGAUCCAGCCAUACCGCGUGGAUGAAGAAGGCCUUCGGGUUGUAAAGCCCUUUUGUUGGGAAAGAAAAGCAGCAGGUUAAUACCCCGCUGUUCUGACGGUACCCAAAGAAUAAGCACCGGCUAACUUCGUG